GUCUGCCUUCAGAAGCGCCAGGUGAAGGCCGAUGGACGAGCUUAUCGUUCGAGAUGCACGCCAUUCCUCUUUCAUCUUUUCUUGGGGAGGAAGCAUAGAUGUGACAACACUCAAUUUUCAGCCACUUCUGCAGUGUUCUUCUAACUGAGAAGCAGGAGAUGUCAUUUACUAGCAGACAUUUCCAACUGAGACACAGUCUGCUGGAAGAGGACUGUGAUAACAGUGCUACCAACAGCAUAGACUGAGAGGCGAUCUGCAUUAGUAAAUGACUGAAUAAU